UGUGUCCUGUGUCUGCUCUCCUCUCCUCUUCCUGUGUCUACUUCUUCUGCAGAACAACAGCUCCAACUGAGACUCAGGUUCCUCUGAACAGGACUACGACCAGGGGAAGUGACAGCAGUGUGCAGACUACAGUCAAGUACCUAUACAUCCAUCAAUACCCGCAGAUUGUGAGACCUGUACCAUCCAUCAAUACCAGCAUAGUGUGAGACCUAUACCAGCCAUCAAUACCCACAGAUUGUGAGACCUAUACAUCCAUCAAUAUCAGCAUAGUGUGAGACCUAUACCAGCCAUCAAUACCAGCGGAGUGUGAGACCUAUACCAUCCAUCAAUAC